UUAAACUGAAAGCUCCAAAAUUUCCCCCCUCUAUCACUCUCGAAAAAACCACAUCUUCUCCCUCUUCUCGAACCUCUCCUCGAACCUUCAGUCCACUUCUCCCUCUUCUCCCUCUUCUCCCUCUUCUCGAACCUUCAGUCCACUUCUUCACUGCACUCUCUUCUCCGCUGUCAGUCCACCUCGCCGGCAGCGAGCCUCUGGUUCAGUGAAACCCGCACUCCACGUCACCACUCGCGAUUUGUGUGGAUUCAGAUUUCAUUUGUCGAACACGGUUGGUUUCUUCGAAGUGGUAGAGAUAAGCUGGAGUUGUAGUUGCGUUUUGCUCCUGGUUUGAAAUCGCGAAUUUGGAAACCCUAGGUUGGUUUCUUCGAAGUGGAAGAGAUAAGAUCGAGCUGCUAUUGCCUUCUACAUUUGGUAAAAAGUUUCCCCAUUUUCUGGUCAAACAGUGACAUCAAAACCCAAGUAAGUGGUUCUAACCUUUUAUUUGUAU